CUCCUUCCUGUGGGACCAGUGCAGUUCUGUGGCUUCUCAGAUGCUGUAGUUCAACCUGCAAACACAUGGUUUCAGCACACACACACCAGUCUGAAGACUGAGCUGCGUUUACUGAGCGUGGGAUUCUGGAUGCUCGACCUGUGGGAUACACCCUCACUUCCUGCGCGUGGAAAACAUCCCUCGGAUUGUUUUUCUAUUUGUACACUGAUUCUGGGCGUGCUUCCCAGUCGGCACGUCGCCCUUGGCAGCGGCAGACGUUUUUCUCCCGUCCUUCACCUACUUCCUGCUGCAGCUCGGCUCCAGUGUGGCCCCGCAGACGGAGGCUCCCGGCAAACAGGCGCAGAGAAAACCAGACGGAUUAUCUUUGAGAUGGAGACAGAUCAUCGCAUAACACAGCUAACUAUCAGCAUUUCACCGCCUCUGGGGAACGCCGCAGAAAACUCUGACUUACACAGAUUAUUAUCAGCAGAGAAGUUGUGUGGAAGCUCUCAGGGAAGAGCGGCAACAAAAGGGUUUAUCCCGGCAUCCUAUUUAGCUGUUGUACGACAAAGAUCAGCCGCUGAUAUUCUAAACAGAUCACGCUGAUAAUCUCAUUCAGGGUUGCUGAAACUAUGAAUAUUUAAAGAGGGGUUUUCCCGGUCCUGUAGUGGGUUUUUGUGCAUGUAACGGUCUGCAGAGGCUGAAAUCCUCCCCUAAACUAUCCUGAUUACAUUAUCCCGUUCCAUCCGUUACUCCCCAAGCCUGGAGAACACCCCUCCAUUGUGGCUGUGAUAAUGGGCAUGUGUGUGCUCUUCAGAAGAAGGACAGCUUCUGCCUUGGGGUGCUUUUUAAGUUGAGAGGUCACGACCCCUGAGGGGAGAGUGGUGACAGGACUUGUGAGGGUCACUCGUCUCGUGACCGUUCCUCUUUAUUGUUAAUAUGACAGGUCGUGGUGAUUCUGCGUGAUGAAAGCAAGACAACAUGUGACUACAGUGUGAUGCUUUAAAUAACUUUGCAGUUGAAUCCUCCGGCAUUAACUCUGACCUCAUCUAAAAAGAAAAACACCCGCCCGCUGAUUCACUGACCAUCGGGGAUUAGCACAAUUCUUGGGUUUUGGCAGCUCUAAUCUACAGUAGAUUUAUGUCACGGGUUUACUCAUCUGGAUUAUUUUUAGACCACCACUGCAAACCAAUCAGAU